GGGUGUAGCUCAGUGACAAAGUGCAUGCCUAGCAUGCAUGAAGUCCUGGGUUCAAUCCCCAGUACUGCCA
rnacentral:tRNA from 1 species